UUCAUACUACAGAGUUCCCCUGAGGCUGGGCCUUUGAUGCAGUUGUACCUUUGCUAGGUGUUCCGGCCAGUGGAAUGCCCCCCACAGACAUCCAACUACAAGGAGCAUAAUUGACAGAUGGCCCCAGCGACUGCCUCUGAAAUUCAUUAUUGGGUUUGUACUGAGCCCCCCCCCCCCGACGCUGCUCCUAGCCAAUGAGUAUGAAGGAACUCAAGAGUGGGAGACACAGGACUCCUCAGACAGAGGAUCGGGACAAACACACUGGGCCUCCCCCUGACUCCCAACGUCUUCAUAGUUCUUCCUGUGAGCACUUGCACAUGAAUCCUCAUCCAGCAUCUGCUCCUGGGGGAUUCCAGCCACUGCCAUCCAUUUACAGAAUGGGCGUUUAUUGGGCAGCCACUAUAUUCUGGCCCCUUUAAACCUAUGGAGACAAAACCUGCCUGCACAGUGUCCUCGUACAUAUUCACAACGUUUUCUCAG